rnacentral:rRNA from 1 species
GACGAACGCUGGCGGCGUGCUUAACACAUGCAAGUCGAACGGAAAGGCCCUGCUUUUGUGGGGUGCUCGAGUGGCGAACGGGUGAGUAACACGUGAGUAACCUGCCCUUGACUUUGGGAUAACUUCAGGAAACUGGGGCUAAUACCGGAUAGGAGCUCCUGCUGCAUGGUGGGGGUUGGAAAUUUUCGGCGGUUGGGGAUGGACUCGCGGCUUAUCAGCUUGUUGGUGGGGUAGUGGCUUACCAAGGCUUUGACGGGUAGCCGGCCUGAGAGGGUGACCGGCCACAUUGGGACUGAGAUACGGACCAGACUCCUACGGGAGGCAGCAGUGGGGAAUAUUGCACAAUGGGCGGAAGCCUGAUGCAGCAACGCCGCGUGCGGGAUGACGGCCUUCGGGUUGUAAACCGCUUUCGCCUGUGACGAAGCGUGAGUGACGGUAAUGGGUAAAGAAGCACCGGCUAACUACGUG